rnacentral:rRNA from 1 species
UACGUAGGGUGCAAGCGUUGUCCGGAAUUAUUGGGCGUAAAGAGCUCGUAGGCGGUCUGUCGCGUCGGCUGUGAAAACCCGAGGCUCAACCUCGGGCCUGCAGUCGAUACGGGCGGGCUAGAGUUCGGUAGGGGAGACUGGAAUUCCUGGUGUAGCGGUGAAAUGCGCAGAUAUCAGGAGGAACACCGGUGGCGAAGGCGGGUCUCUGGGCCGAUACUGACGCUGAGGAGCGAAAGCGUGGGGAGCGAACAGG